CACGUAGGGGGCAAGCGUUGUCCGGAUUUAUUGGGCGUAAAGAGCUCGUAGGCGGCUCAGUAAGUCAGGUGUGAAACCUCCAGGCUCAACCUGGAGACGCCACCUGAUACUGCUGUGGCUAGAAUUCGGUAGGGGAGACUGGAAUUCCUGGUGUAGCGGUGAAAUGCGCAGAUAUCAGGAGGAACACCGGUGGCGAAGGCGGGUCUCUGGGCCGAUAUUGACGCUGAGGAGCGAAAGCGUGGGGAGCGAACAGG
rnacentral:rRNA from 1 species